GACGAACGCUGGCGGCGUGCUUAACACAUGCAAGUUGAACGGAAAGGCCCUGCUUUUGUGGGGUGCUCGAGUGGCGAACGGGUGAGUAACACGUGAGUAACCUGCCCUUGACUUUGGGAUAACUUCAGGAAACUGGGGCUAAUACCGGAUAGGAGCUCCUGCUGCAUGGUGGGGGUUGGAAAGUUUCGGCGGUUGGGGAUGGACUCGCGGCUUAUCAGCUUGUUGGUGGGGUAGUGGCUUACCAAGGCUUUGACGGGUAGCCGGCCUGAGAGGGUGACCGGCCACAUUGGGACUGAGAUACGGCCCAGACUCCUACGGGAGGCAGCAGUGGGGAAUAUUGCACAAUGGGCGGAAGCCUGAUGCAGCAACGCCGCGUGCGGGAUGACGGCCUUCGGGUUGUAAACCGCUUUCGCCUGUGACGAAGCGUGAGUGACGGUAAUGGGUAAAGAAGCACCGGCUGACUACGUG
rnacentral:rRNA from 1 species